GACGAACGCUGGCGGCGUGCUUAACACAUGCAAGUCGACGAGAACGAGGUAGCAAUACCUUUAGUAAAGUGGCGCACGGGUGCGUAACACGUAAGCAAUCUACCCUUAGAUUGGGAAUAACUUCGAGAAAUCGGGGCUAAUACCGAAUGAUGCAGCGGCACCGCAUGGUGAUGUUGUUAAAGUUACUUUUGUAACGUCUAGGGAUGAGCUUGCGUCUGAUUAGCUAGUUGGUGAGGUAAACGGCUCACCAAGGCAACGAUCAGUAGCUGGUCUGAGAGGAUGAUCAGCCACACUGGAACUGAGACACGGUCCAGACUCCUACGGGAGGCAGCAGUGAGGAAUAUUGGGCAAUGCCCGCAAGGGUGACCCAGCAACGCCGCGUGGAGGAUGAAUGCCGUAAGGUUGUAAACUCCUGUGAGAAGGGAAGAAUAAACUAAGAGAGUAAAAAGAC
rnacentral:rRNA from 1 species